rnacentral:rRNA from 1 species
AACGAACGCUGGCGGCAUGCCUAACACAUGCAAGUCGAACGAGACCUUCGGGUCUAGUGGCGCACGGGUGCGUAACGCGUGGGAACCUGCCCUUAGGUUCGGAAUAACUCCCCGAAAGGGGUGCUAAUACCGGAUAAUGUCUUCGGACCAAAGAUUUAUCGCCUUUGGAUGGGCCCGCGUUGGAUUAGCUAGUUGGUAGGGUAAAAGCCUACCAAGGCGACGAUCCAUAGCUGGUCUGAGAGGAUGAUCAGCCACACUGGGGCUGAGACACGGCCCAGACUCCUACGGGAGGGAGCAGUGGGGAAUAUUGGACGAUGGGGGAAAGCCUGAUCCAGCAAUGCCGGGUGAGUGAUGAAGGCCUUAGGGUUGUAAAGCUCUUUUACCCGGGAUGAUAAUGACAGUACCGGGAGAAUAAGCACCGGCUAACUCCGUG